CAACCCUUGACAUGUCCCGUAUGGGUUCCAGAGAUGGGAUCCUUCAGUUCGGCUGGCGGGAACACAGGUGCUGCAUGGCUGUCGUCAGCUCGUGUCGUGAGAUGUUGGGUUAAGUCCCGCAACGAGCGCAACCCUCGCCCUUAGUUGCCAUCAUUUAGUUGGGCACUCUAAGGGGACUGCCGGUGAUAAGCCGCGAGGAAGGUGGGGAUGACGUCAAGUCCUCAUGGCCCUUACGGGUUGGGCUACACACGUGCUACAAUGGCGGUGACAGUGGGAUGCAAUGGAGCAAUCCUGCGCAAAUCUCAAAAAACCGUCUCAGUUCGGAUUGUGCUCUGCAACUCGAGCACAUGAAGUUGGAAUCGCUAGUAAUCGCAGAUCAGCACGCUGCGGUGAAUACGUUCCCGGGCCUUGUACACACCGCCCGUCACACCAUGGGAGUUGGCUUUACCUGAAGACGGUGCGCUAACCGCAAGGAGGCAGCCGGCCACGGUAGGGUCAGCGACUGGGGUG
rnacentral:rRNA from 1 species